GACGUAGGGCGCGAGCGUUGUCCGGAUUUAUUGGGCGUAAAGAGCUCGUAGGCGGCUUGUUGCGUCGACUGUGAAAACCCGCGGCUUAACUGCGGGCUUGCAGUUGAUACGGGCAGGCUAGAGUUCGGUAGGGGAGACUGGAAUUCCUGGUGUAGCGGUGAAAUGCGUAGAUAUUGGGAGGAACACCAGUGGCGAAGGCGGCUCACUGGACCGGAACUGACGCUGAGGCGCGAAAGCGUGGGGAGCAAACAGG
rnacentral:rRNA from 1 species